CGGGGGGUGCAAGCGUUGCUCGGAAUCACUGGGCGUAAAGCGUCCGCAGGCGGCUUGAUAAGUCGGGUGUGAAAGCCCGGGGCUCAACCCCGGAACUGCAUUCGAAACUGUCUGGCUUGAGUACGGGAGAGGGUCGUGGAAGUUCCUGGUGUAGAGGUGAAAUUCGUAGAUAUCAGGAGGAACACCGGUGGCGAAAGCGGCGACCUGGCCCGAUACUGACGCUCAUGGACGAAAGCGUGGGGAGCAAAACAGGAUUAGAUACCCUGGUAGUCCACGCCGUAAACGAUGGAUGCUAGCUGGUGGGUCUUCUACCGACUCGUCGGCGUCGCUAACGCAUUGAGCAUCCCGCCUGGGGAGUACGGUCGCAAGACUA
rnacentral:rRNA from 1 species